ensembl:lncRNA
CUGAGGAAGGGUGCUGGCACCCAGCUGCUGCCUGGACUUUGCACACCUGAUGGUGGUGCUUAGUGCCCAACAUUCCAACCUCUGCUUUGCCUGUCCUCACUUUGGCUGAGGAUGUGACUCAAGAGGGUGCCCAGCAGCAUUUCAGCUUGCAGGUGAGGACUAUCUGCAGCACUAUUUCUGUUUCACAUAUCACUUUCACAAAAGAACCUUUUGAGUUAGGGUCUCUCAGCUUUUUGAUGGCUUUCAUUGAUUGUUUUUGAGGAGAAAGCUACAACAAAACUGACAUUUUUGCAGAAACAGCAGAGGUUGGCCAGGCACUGACACCACGUGCUCACAUCAGGUGUACUUUCACCCUAGUGCUUUGCUGCUGAACACCAUGGGCAGAGAUCGCUGUGCUAUGGCUGUGAGGGGCUGCAGGAGCAGGAGGUGGAGCAGGAGCACCUUGUGUGCAGAUACCAGUUUGUUCCUUUGCAUGGAGGGGCCUUGUUAAGUGCUUGAAACAGGGCUCAUGUGCUUCACACAGGGCCUGGGGCCGCUUGUGGCCAGCAGGAAUUCUCCUCCACCAUGGCAGGAGAGUGUUAGAGUUAAACCAAGGAGACAAAGGGCAGGAAGUCACGCUCUAAAGCCACCUCAUGCUAACAGCCGAAUGGGGGAGAAGAAUUGGGGAGAAGGGUGGUGGGCAGAGCAGGGCUCAGUCUUCCCCUCUUCAUUCUGACUUCGGAGUGAGCUUGGAGUGAGCAUAACCCAUGGUGCCUGAUGAGGAGAAAGCUGAACCUGGAUGCUGCCUUACAUUUCCCAUGCCAAGCAACAAUCCUGCUGGGUGCAUAUCUGCAAAGCUUGUGUGUGAAGCUGGCAACUGCAACACACAGAAGCCUGGCUUUGGUAUGGCCAUUGUGUUCCCCAUGUCUUUGUGCAGAAAAUUCCUCAUGCAGCGCUGUGUUUUCAUUCUUGGAUGUGUGGGUUCAGGGGCGCAGUGAAGCCUGUUGUUGUGCGCCAUUCACAGGUGCUGGUGAAGAUCCCAGGUAACCAGUGAUAGAAUGACAGGGUUAACCAUGUGGGAGAUGGGGGAAGCACAAAGUCUUAAUCACCCUUGUUUCAUUCCAGGCCAGACACCCCAUCAAGAGUUGAGAUAAAUGGCCCAGCGACAGGAAUUGUUUAAGUACGCGAAUGAAUGAGCAAUCAUCCAUGAGCAAAGCUGACGACUUAGCAUCUGGAUGCUGCUAUUUCAUGAAGACCACGCUACAUCCUCUGCAGUUCUUAACUGCUUUGCACCUUUUGUUGCAGACCGAUGGUCCUCUACCUUGAAGUCUUAUUGAAAAAAAAAAAAAAAAUAAGAGCAAACAUUUGCUUCGAGGUUGUGCAAACGCCUGUCCCUGUCUAUCUCCUUGAAUCUGUUGAUGCUGUCCCAACAGAGGAUGAUGAAAGGUCAUCAGCAGAAAAUCUAUUUUUUUAAUUUGGCCUUGGUCUGUGGAAGGAAAAUAAUAUUGCAACAUGGCUUACAUAAGAAUACAGGCCCAGGCAAAUUCAUUCAUGCGAUGAAAUCAUACAGCCUUCAAAUACUGCUGGCUCUCCAUGUUGGAAUAGAAUAAGGUGGAAAGAAUAUGUUGCCGAAGAGUACUAAUAACCAUCUGUACACAGAAUAGGUGAGGCCUACAGUCAACGGCAGGUCAUAAUUGCACAAAGUUGGGAAAAUUUUUCUCUAACAGCUUGCUCACUCAUCUUUACCCCAAAAAUGAGACAGAGGGGAGUCUCCAGCUUUCUCUCCCCCCAGGAUUUCUCACAGUAUCUGGGAUUGAAACCCCCCUUUUAUCCCUAUCCUUCAACUGUAUUGUUUCUCCUCGUUUCCUCACUGGCUGAAGUACUGAGGUUACAGACUUCCUGGUCCACCCAAUACACGUUCCCCCUUGUAUGUCAUCCCCUUUUGUAUCAUGUAUCAUGUGUGUAAUUAACUCCAACUUCAUGCAGCUCAGGGAGGAGAAGUUAAUUAUGCUACUAAAUCUGCUCAGCAUGUCCAAAGUUUGUAAGUUCAGUUGUUGACAGACCUUCAUAACUAAAAUCUUGUUUGGUAAGAAUGUACAGACACCAACAGGAGAGGAAUCUGCAAGCCUCUGCACAAGUUUGUGAGCAAGGGCAUCUUGUUUGCAAACCUCUGGGUAAAUAACAUUGUUAGCAAGGACAUCUUGUUUGUAAGCCUCUUUUGUUUCGUGUGAAGAGCAAAUGCAAGAUAUAAGGGAGCUAAUACUUUGGUUAUUGUAAAACCAUGUGCUUUAUAAGCACCAGUACCUAAUUAUGACCUUAAUUAUUAUAGUUCUGUGAAUUGUUAAAUAAAUGCUUUCUAAAUCACUAUGCAAAACUAUUGC